rnacentral:pre_miRNA from 1 species
UUAGCUCAUAUUUGUAUGGAUUGGGAACGUUUGGCUAUGUCAGCCGCUAGGGGCGCUGUUCCAACUGCAUACAAAAUAGGGCUA